GCCCGCAUGGCUAAGUGGUAUAGCGUAUCACUAGUAAAAAGCGACCUCAGGGGAUUCCCAAGGAGUCGUGCUAGGAUAAUGAUAAGGUCAUCAGUUCGAUUCUGAUUGUGGGCA